UACGUAGGGGGCAAGCGUUGUCCGGAUUUAUUGGGCGUAAAGAGCGUGUAGGCGGUCAGGUAGGUCCGUUGUGAAAACUCGAGGCUCAACCUCGAGACGCCGAUGGAAACCAUCUGACUAGAGUCCGGAAGAGGAGAGUGGAAUUCCUGGUGUAGCGGUGAAAUGCGCAGAUAUCAGGAAGAACACCGGAGGCGAAGGCGGCUUGCUGGGCGUGAUCUGACGCUGAGGCGCGAAAGCGUGGGGAGCGAACAGG
rnacentral:rRNA from 1 species